UACAGAGGUCUCAAGCGUUGUUCGGAUUCAUUGGGCGUAAAGGGUGCGUAGGUGGCGCCGUAAGUCGGGUGUGAAAUUUCGGAGCUUAACUCCGAAACUGCAUUCGAUACUGCCGUGCUUGAGGACUGGAGAGGAGACUGGAAUUUACGGUGUAGCGGUGAAAUGCGUAGAUAUCGUAAGGAAGACCAGUGGCGAAGGCGGGUCUCUGGACAGUUCCUGACGCUGAGGCACGAAGGUCAGGGGAGCAAACGGG
rnacentral:rRNA from 1 species